rnacentral:rRNA from 1 species
CUGGUUGAUCCUGCCAGAGGUCACUGCUAUCGGGGUUCGAUUAAGCCAUGCGAGUCGAGAGGGUUCAGACCCUCGGCGGACUGCUCAGUAACACGUGGAUAACCUGCCCUAAGGUGGAGCAUAACCCCGGGAAACUGGGGAUAAUACUCCAUAGGUUAGAGAUACUGGAAUGUUCUUUAAUCAAAAGUUCCGGCGCCUUAGGAUGGAUCUGCGGCCGAUUAGGUAGUUGUUGGGGUAACGGCCCAACAAGCCUGUAAUCGGUACGGGUUGUGGGAGCAAGAGCCCGGAGAUGGAAUCUGAGACACGAUUCCAGGCCCUACGGGGCGCAGCAGGCGCGAAAACUUUACAAUGCAGGAAACUGUGAUAAGGGAACCCCGAGUGCCCGUAUACGCGGGCUGUCCGGGUGUAUAAAAAGCAUCUGAAGAAAGGGCCGGGCAAGACCGGUGCCAGCCGCCGCGGUAAUACCGGCGGCUCGAGUGGUGACCACUUUUAUUGGGCUUAAAGCGUUCGUAGCUGGACUCUUAAGUCUCUUGGGAAAUCCCGCGGCUCAACCGUGGGGCGUUUAAGAGAUACUGGGAGUCUAGGAAUCGGGAGAGGUAAGAGGUACUUCGGGGGUAGAAGUGAAAUUCUGUAAUCCUCGAGGGACCACCGAUGGCGAAGGCAUCUUACCAGAACGGCUUCGACAGUGAGGAACGAAAGCUGGGGGAGCGAACGGGAUUAGAUACCCCGGUAGUCCCAGCCGUAAACGAUGCGCGUUAGGUGUACUGGUGACCACGAGUCACUGGGGUGCCGAAGGGAAACCGUGAAACGUGCCGCCUGGGAAGUACGGUCGCAAGGCUGAAACUUAAAGGAAUUGGCGGGGGAGCACCAC